AUUGAACGCUGGCGGCAUGCCUUACACAUGCAAGUCGAACGGCAGCACGGGAGCAAUCCUGGUGGCGAGUGGCGAACGGGUGAGUAAAGUAUCGGAACGUGCCCAGUCGUGGGGGAUAACGUAGCGAAAGUUACGCUAAUACCGCAUACGAUCUAUGGAUGAAAGCGGGGGAUCGCAAGACCUAGCGCGAUUGGAGCGGCCGAUAUCAGAUUAGGUAGGUGGUGGGGUAAAGGCUCACCAAGCCGACGAUCUGUAGCUGGUCUGAGAGGACGACCAGCCACACUGGGACUGAGACACGGCCCAGACUCCUACGGGAGGCAGCAGUGGGGAAUUUUGGACAAUGGGCGAAAGCCUGAUCCAGCCAUGCCGCGUGCAGGAUGAAGGCCUUCGGGUUGUAAACUGCUUUUGUACAGAACGAAAAGGUUUGGGCUAAUAAGCUGAGCUCAUGACGGUACCGUAAGAAUAAGCACCGGCUAACUACGUGCCAGCAGCCGCGGUAA
rnacentral:rRNA from 1 species